GUGGCGACCGGGUGAGUACACGUGACUAACCUACCUCCGAGUGGGGAAUAACUCCGGGAAACCGGGGCUAAUACCGCAUAACAUCGCAAGAUCAAAGCAGCAAUGCGCUUGGAGAGGGGGUCGCGGCUGAUUAGCUAGUUGGCGGGGUAACGGCCCACCAAGGCGAAGAUCGGUAUCCGGCCUGAGAGGGCGCACGGACACACUGGAACUGAAACACGGUCCAGACUCCUACGGGAGGCAGCAGUGGGGAAUUUUGCGCAAUGGGGGAAACCCUGACGCAGCAACGCCGCGUGGAGGAUGAAGCCCUUUGGGGCGUAAACUCCUUUCGACUCGGACGAUAAUGACGGUACGAGUGGAAGAAGCACCGGCUAACUCUGUGCCAGCAGCCGCGGUAAUACAGAGGGUGCAAGCGUUGUUCGGAAUUAUUGGGCGUAAAGGGCGCGUAGGCGGUGCGGUAAGUCACCUGUGAAAUCUCCUGGCUUAACUAGGAGCCUGCAGGCGAAACUACCGUGCUGGAGUGUGGGAGAGGUGCGUGGAAUUCCCGGUGUAGCGGUGAGAUGCGUAGAUAUCGGGAGGAACACCUGUGGCGAAAGCGGCGCACUGGACCAUAACUGACGCUGAGGCGCGAAAGCUAGGGGAGCAAACAGGAUUAGAUACCCUGGUAGUCCUAGCCCUAAACGAUGAUUGCUUGGUGUAGCAGGUACCCAAUCCUGCUGUGCCGCAGCUAACGCGAUAAGCAAUCCGCCUGGGGAGUACGGUCGCAAGGCUGAAACUCA
rnacentral:rRNA from 1 species